CGCACAAGCGGUGGAGUAUGUGGCUUAAUUCGAUGCAACGCGAAGAACCUUACCUAGGCUUGACAUGCUUGUCGUACUCUCCCGAAAAGGAGAGGUCACUUCGGGUGGGCAAUGCACAGGUGCUGCAUGGCCGUCGUCAGCUCGUGUCGUGAGAUGUUUGGUUAAGUCCAGCAACGAGCGCAACCCCUGUGAACUGUUGCCAGCGCGUAAAGGCGGGGGCUCUGUUCAGACUGCCCAGAUCAACUGGGAGGAAGGUGGGGACGACGUCAGGUCAGUAUGGCCCUUACGCCUAGGGCUGCACACGUACUACAAUGCCCAGCACAAUGAGAACCGAGACCGCAAGGUGGAGGAAAUCUGCAAAACUGGGCCCAGUUCGGAUUGGAGGGUGCAACUCGCCUCCAUGAAGUCGGAAUCGCUAGUAAUGCCGUAUCAGCUACGACGGCGUGAAUACGUUCCCGGGUCUUGUACACACCGCCCGUCACAUCAUGGAAGCCGGUCGCACCCGAAGUAUAUGCGCUAACUUUAUUGAAGCAGUAUCCUAAGGUGAGGCUGGUAACUGGGAUG
rnacentral:rRNA from 1 species